rnacentral:rRNA from 1 species
CCGACGGUGAGGGGCGAAAGCUGGGGGAGCAAACCGGAUUAGAUACCCGGGUAGUCCCAGCCGUAAACGAUGCUCGCUAGGUGUCUGGGAUGGUGCGACCGUUUCAGGUGCCGCAGGGAAGCCGUGAAGCGAGCCACCUGGGAAGUACGGCCGCAAGGCUGAAACUUAAAGGAAUUGGCGGGGGAGCACUACAACGGGUGGAGCCUGCGGUUUAAUUGGACUCAACGCCGGAAAACUCACCUGGGGC